GACAGCGUCCGCCAGUUCGUCAGGAACUUCCGGCAGAGCGGGCUGCCCCUCGACGUCCUCGUGUGCAACGCAGCCGUCUACUUCCCCACCGCCAAAGAGCCGACCUACACCGCCGACGGCUUUGAGAUGAGCGUCGGAGUCAACCACCUCGGCCACUUCCUCCUCGCCCGAGAACUCCUCGAGGACCUCAAGGCAUCGGAUUACCCCUCCCGACGUCUCAUCAUCGUCGGCUCGAUCACAGGUACGACCUGAACCCGAUACAUUCCUUGGAUCGAGGCGCAUCGCUAACUCGAGCUUCUCCGUGUGUGCUUGCCGGUGCCCAGGGAACACCAACACCUUGGCCGGGAACAUACCCCCGAAAGCAAACCUGGGAGACCUGCGAGGGCUCGCGGGGGGAUUGAAUGGGCUCGGCGGCUCCACCAUGAUCGACGGAGGCGAGUUCGACGGCGCCAAGGCGUACAAGGACAGCAAGGUCUGCAAC
rnacentral:lncRNA from 1 species